rnacentral:rRNA from 1 species
CGGCAUGGCGCUGCUUACCAUGCAGUCGAACGGUGAACACGGAGCUUGCUCUGUGGGAUCAGUGGCGAACGGGUGAGUAACACGUGAGCAACCUGCCCCUGACUCUGGGAUAAGCGCUGGAAACGGCGUCUAAUACUGGAUACGAGUAGCGACCGCAUGGUCAGUUACUGGAAAGAUUUAUUGGUUGGGGAUGGGCUCGCGGCCUAUCAGCUUGUUGGUGAGGUAAUGGCUCACCAAGGCGUCGACGGGUAGCCGGCCUGAGAGGGUGACCGGCCACACUGGGACUGAGACACGGCCCAGACUCCUACGGGAGGCAGCAGUGGGGAAUAUUGCACAAUGGGCGCAAGCCUGAUGCAGCAACGCCGCGUGAGGGAUGACGGCCUUCGGGUUGUAAACCUCUUUUAGCAGGGAAGAAGCGAAAGUGACGGUACCUGCAGAAAAAGCGCCGGCUAACUACGUGCCAGCAGCCGCGGUAAUACGUAGGGCGCAAGCGUUAUCCGGAAUUAUUGGGCGUAAAGAGCUCGUAGGCGGUUUGUCGCGUCUGCUGUGAAAUCCGGAGGCUCAACCUCCGGCCUGCAGUGGGUACGGGCAGACUAGAGUGCGGUAGGGGAGAUUGGAAUUCCUGGUGUAGCGGUGGAAUGCGCAGAUAUCAGGAGGAACACCGAUGGCGAAGGCAGAUCUCUGGGCCGUAACUGACGCUGAGGAGCGAAAGGGUGGGGAGCAAACAGGCUUAGAUACCCUGGUAGUCCACCCCGUAAACGUUGGGAACUAGUUGUGGGGUCCAUUCCACGGAUUCCGUGACGCAGCUAACGCAUUAAGUUCCCCGCCUGGGGAGUACGGCCGCAAGGCUAAAACUCAAAGGAAUUGACGGGGACCCGCACAAGCGGCGGAGCAUGCGGAUUAAUUCGAUGCAACGCGAAGAACCUUACCAAGGCUUGACAUAUACGAGAACGGGCCAGAAAUGGUCAACUCUUUGGACACUCGUAAACAGGUGGUGCAUGGUUGUCGUCAGCUCGUGUCGUGAGAUGUUGGGGUUAAGUCCCGCAACGAGCGCAACCCUCGUUCUAUGUUGCCAGCACGUAAUGGUGGGAACUCAUGGGAUACUGCCGGGGUCACUCGGGAGGAAAGNUGGGGGAUGACGUCAAUCAUCAUGCCCCUAUGUCUGGGCUNACGCAUGCUACAUGCGNACCAANGNCUGCAAUACGCGAGNGGNACGAAUCCCAAAAAGCCGGU